ACUAUGAGGUGAAGGCCAAGGCCAUGCACCGCUUCUUCGAGGAAGGCGACAAGGUCAAGGUCACCCUGCGCUUCCGCGGUCGUGAAAUGGCCCACCCCGAACUGGGCAUGAAGCUGCUGAACAAGGUUCAGGCCGACUUCGACGAAGUCGCCAAGGUCGAGUUCUCGCCCAAGAUGGAAGGCCGCCAGAUGAUCAUGAUCCUGGCCCCGCGCUGAUCGCGAUCCAUCGCUGAAUACGAAACGCCCCGGUCCCACGACCGGGGCGUUUUGUUUUUGCGCAUCUGCCGCUUGCGUAAA
rnacentral:misc_RNA from 1 species